CCGAGUGCGUCCGUUAAUUCGGACUCCUCCCACCCUUGUGUAUUUUCGCUGAAAAGCAGCUUCGGCGGGCCGUCUAGCUCUGAGAAAUCGGAAGUGUUGACGUCGGCCUAGUGCGGAUUCGCGCCCGCCGAAGAACCAACUCUUGACAACUUGAAGUCUGAUAACAAACAAACAAGUCA
rnacentral:misc_RNA from 1 species